rnacentral:rRNA from 1 species
UGCAGUCGAACGGUAACGCGGGGGCAACCCUGGCGACGAGUGGCGAACGGGUGAGUAAUACAUCGGAACAUAUCCAGUAGCGGGGGAUAACCUAUCGAAAGAUUGGCUAAUACCGCAUACGAUCUACGGAUGAAAGCGGGGGACCGCAAGGCCUCGCACUAUUGGAGUGGCCGAUGUCAGAUUAGGUAGUUGGUGGGGUAAAGGCUCACCAAGCCGACGAUCUGUAGCUGGUCUGAGAGGACGACCAGCCACACUGGAACUGAGACACGGUCCAGACUCCUACGGGAGGCAGCAGUGGGGAAUUUUGGACAAUGGGCGCAAGCCUGAUCCAGCAAUGCCGCGUGCAGGAAGAAGGCCUUCGGGUUGUAAACUGCUUUUGUACGGAACGAAACGACUCUGGUUAAUACCUGGAGUUAAUGACGGUACCGUAAGAAUAAGCACCGGCUAACUACGUGCCAGCAGCCGCGGUAAUACGUAGGGUGCAAGCGUUAAUCGGAAUUACUGGGCGUAAAGCGUGCGCAGGCGGUGAUGUAAGACAGUCGUGAAAUCCCCGGGCU